rnacentral:miRNA from 8 species
AGCUCUGUCGCAUAUUGCCCCC